rnacentral:ncRNA from 2 species
CAACGGAUCUCUUGGCUCUCGCAUCGAU